AGCGAACGCUGGCGGCGUGCCUCAGACAUGCAAGUCGAACGCGAAAGUCCCCUUCGGGGGACAAGUAGAGUGGCGCACGGGUGAGUAACACGUAGGUAAUCUACCUUUGGAUGGGGAAUAACAACCGGAAACGGUUGCUAAUACCGCAUAAUGCAGCGGCACCUAAUGGUGACAGUUGUUAAAGCGGGGGAUCGAAAGACCUCGCGUCUAAAGAGGAGCCUGCGGCGGAUUAGCUAGUUGGAAGGUAAUGGCUUACCAAGGCUACGAUCCGUAACCGGCCUGAGAGGGCGGUCGGUCACACUGACACUGACAUACGGGUCAGACUCCUACGGGAGGCAGCAGUCGGGAAUUUUGGGCAAUGGGCGAAAGCCUGACCCAGCAACGCCGCGUGAAGGAUGACGGCCUCGG
rnacentral:rRNA from 1 species